rnacentral:lncRNA from 1 species
GAACAAUUGGAUCAUCAUCUUCCUCCACCAAAUAUCCAACCAACUUCUCUACGUUUUCUUCCAGCCCCACAAGAUUGCUUUUUUCCUGUCUAGCGAAUUCUUUUCUUUCAGGAAGAGGUUCUGGAUCCCUCAUGUCGCCAAUAAUCUGUUGUACUCCUUGAGUUUCCAUAUCACGAAUCACCUUAGAGAUCCUAUUACUUAAGCUUCCAAUUUCUAAUGCGAUUUCCCUGCGUUCAGGAAUGAUGCAAGCAAGUCUUCUCAUACGCUCCUUGAUGCCACCACUUUUUUGGAGUUGGUCUUUUAGGAUAAAAGUUUCAAGUAUAUCUUCCGCGUCAAAAAUGAUUUCCUUGAUCACUUCCACACAGUUCUUCACCCUCGCACUUGUAUGCUUUUUAGCCUCUGCGUCUUGCAUAAAUGACUUUAAUCUGCCUAGAUCAGUUUUUAGUUCAUCAACUUGAUCUUCAACUCCCUGAAAUUGUUUGUGUUCAUGGCUCAGUAGGUUCCAAAGAUUUUGUAUUCCAAAUGACAGAAGCUCCGUAGCCAUAGUGCCUCCUGCUUAAAUAGUAAUGAAAAUAACAACCAAGUUACUUAAUAUUGACGAACAUUUCUAAUCAUAACAUAUUCUGAUAAACUGAUGAGAGUAAAGAACACAAAAGUGUUUAAAGGAAGAAUUGUAUUAGACUCAUCCCAAAAUAAUGUUACAUAAUACAUCGAUAUAUAUAGUAAUAGGAAUAAACCUAAUUUCCUAAACUGAGAUAAUGACUAAUGAAAAUAAUACAUUUCUACAUAAAGGUAAAUAUCCUAAAUAAGAGGAUCUAGAUUCUUUCACAUCUUCAUAAUUUACAUAUUCUUGAGCAAUCAUCUCGACCGUCGAUCUCUCAACCGAUCUCCGGUUCUCCAUCUCCCAAUACCCCCCGGCAAGCUCAUACGUGGUAACACGUGUGAGAUUGGACAAGUCUUCAAAAUAACGGCUUUAUACUCGGCCGUCGAGUCAUCAUCGACGUUUAUACCCGGUCGUGGGGUCAAAGCGGCUGUAAAAUCCGGCCGUCGGAUCAUUAACGACGUUUAUACCCGAUCGUAGGGUUUUUCAAGAAGAAAGGGACAAAACUCGCGUUUGCGAUGUUUAUGAAUAAUUCGCGAUUGCGAAAAUAAGUCACGAGAAUAAGAAGUCAGAAUAUAAAAGGAUGUUAAUCGCGAGGGCGAAGAAAACAUCAAGCUGAACAAAUCAAUAGAUAGAGAAAAAUCAAAACAAAAGAGAGAAAAACCAAUAGAAAAUUAUAGAAAAUAACAACCAAGUUACUUAAUAUUGACGAACAUUUCUAAUCAUAACAUAUUCUGAUAAACUGAUGAGAGUAAAGAACACAAAAGUGUUUAAAGGAAGAAUUGUAUUAGACUCAUCCCAAAAUAAUGUUACAUAAUACAUCGAUAUAUAUAGUAAUAGGAAUAAACCUAAUUUCCUAAACUGAGAUAAUGACUAAUGAAAAUAAUACAUUUCUACAUAAAGGUAAAUAUUCUAAAUAAGAGGAUCUAGAUUCUUUCACAUCUUCAUAAUUUACAUAUUCUUGAGCAAUCAUCUCGACCGUCGAUCUCUCAACCAAUCUCCGGUUCUCCAUCUCCCAAUAUAUUCACUAGAGCGACAUAUCACAAGUUCCGUAAGAGGAUAAGAUUUUCAUAAUUCCAUUAAAGCCUAUAAAAACUAAACCUAAUUAUUCUAGUGAGUAACCUGUAAGAUCCAAUCAAACUGCCAGAAAUUUAUAUGGAUAUAGACAAGGUUUUAGUAUCAAAACUUGAAAGAUAUAUAUAUGGAGAAAAAUAAACAGAGAUUUCAUUCACCGUAAACAAAAUUUUUUGCCAUGAACAAAAGAAAACAGAUUGAUAACAUUAAAAGAAAAAUGACUAACCUUUUGAAGAAGAGAGAUUUUAGCUCUUUAGCUCAUCCUAAGGAAGAACUACCUUUAUGUUUUCAAGACUUAAUUUCCCUUCUUUCUGAUAUUUUGUUUUUCAGACUUUUCAACUAUCGACAACGCAUGGUGUUCUUAACCACAUACUUUUCUUUGUCUAUCAUUCUCUUUAUCUAUUCUUUUUUUUUUUUGCAGAAAUAUUUUUCUUUUGUUAUGAAAUUAUUAUUUUAUAUAUAGGUGUGAGGAAAGUAAUUAUAUAAGUGUUUGUUUUAUACUAGUAUAUAUAUAUAUAUAUAUUUAUCUAUAUUAACAUUUUUGAAGUACCUUUUGUGUUCUACCCUUUUAUUUUGUAAUAUUUGCAUAAUUAAAUCCUUACCAUUUGAUUAAAUAGAAAAAGUUUAAGAUAAAUUUUGUAAUUAAAUCAUAAUAAUUUUGCAAAAUUAGAAAUCAAUAUUUAUUACAUUUAAACAAAAUUUCCUAAAAUCUCUCCCUAAUAAAUCAAAGAUUUCUCCAACAUCUUUACAUGAUCUUAUUUGUUUUUAAAUUUAUAUUAUUACAUAAACAUAUGUAUAAUAAAAAUAUAAUAUUUUUUUUGCAUAUGUUGUAAUUUGAAUUUUUAGAAACGGAUGUAUAUUACUCAAACGAUACAAAAAUCUAUGUACUAAAGUAUUAUUGAUAAUUGUGUAGCACGGGUCAUGUGAUGGAACGGGUUAUAAUUUACAUAAUUAUGAUUAUAGAUAUUUUUACAGGUUUUUUACUAUAGUAUAACUGACAAAAAUAUUUUAAUAUGAAAUUAUAUUAUGUAAACGAAUAUUAUGUCCGUAUCAUUUCAUUAUUUUAAAUAUUAUACUAUUUAAUUAAUUUACUCAAAUUACGAUUACAUAAAAAAUAAAUUAUCAUAUAAUAUUCUACGGGUUAAAUCAUAAACUUAAGAAUCAAAAUAUAGUAGUACACUCUUAUAUACCAAACAAAAAUAAUAAAAAGAAUACAUUUUAAAAUGUCGUUCUGCGGUCUGCGGUGUACCGCGGGUUAAAAUCUAGUAUAUAUAUUAUAUUUGUUAUUGGUUAAAAGGGAGAGAAAGUGACGAAGAGGAAAGAGAGUGAAUUAUUAUUACUCUUGCAUUUUUGUUGCUUUCGUACACACAGUUGUGUAUUAAAAAGAACUAAACCGACCACAAACGACAUAUCUAGGCCUUGAAAGACCAUCCACAUCGUCCCUCCAAAUAGUCUCCAAUACAUCAGGAACAAAAUCAAAAGUAAAUAAACCUAAAAGCAAAGUAAGGCAUAGUUUGUUAAUCUAUCCGCAAGGUGAUUAGCUUUUCUAUACAUGUGAGGAACCCGGACAAUCCAGUUUCUCGAUAAAAAGCCAUAACACAAGUAUACUAGGGAUGAUGAUGGGUAGGACUUGCAGAUACCCUUCUUGAGAAACACCACCACCAUUUUAGAAUCAAUCUCCGGUUCCACUCUUAAAACUUGUUUCUCCCUGGCAAUAACAAGUCUAUAGUAGACAACCCAAAACUCUGCUAGAGGUGCGGAACAUCGACCAAUAUUGAGUACAAAUCCUUCACACCAGUUUCCCUCUCCAUCACGUAGAACACCACCACCAGCUGCCAGCCCUGGAUUGCCACUUGAAGCUCCAUCAGUAUUAAGCUUAUACCAGCCGUUAACUGUUUAUUAUCCUCUAAUGUCUUUAAUCUUUUUUGGUGUGUUUGGGAGAUUGCAAGCUUGAUUUCUAUGGAAUUUUGGGUCUUCUUUCUACAUUAAUUAUAAUUGAAAUAGUUUUAUUUCUGUAUAUUUAAAUUAAUUAUGAAUAUGAAUUUUUAAAAAAAAGAUAAAGUAGUAAAUCUAUUAUUGAGAUAGAAUAUUUUUGGCAACCAAUUCAUAUUUAUAUUUAAUUGAAAAAAUGUUGAUCAAAGAAAAAAUAAUAAUAAAUAGUUCUACAUAUAGAGGUCUCGGGUUCGACGUCCAGAUAAGAUGAUUUAUUAAUUAAUUUGCAGAAGAAUGAGACAAGCUUUCUAGAGAUCUAACACGAUGUACAAUUAGAACUGUUCACCGUGUUUCUAUGCAUGGUGAAUGAAGUGUCGUUCGUGUGAGGAAAAAGAGUAAUUUGUGAUGAAUCUAUUAGGAUCGGGGAGAAUUAUCUAUAGUAGAAUCCUUAUUUUAAUAAUUCUCAUAAUUUUCAAUAAUCAAUAAUUCAAGAGUUUAAAAAAAACUAGAACUAUAUAGAAUGCAAUCUAGGGGUUAAAACGGAGUAAUGCUUAUUUAGAGAAAAAUAAUUCUUAUUUAGAGUCGAAUUUUUUAAGGAAAAAUGAUUCUCAGCUACAUGAAGUAUCCGCCAACACAUUGUUACACAUGUAAAUAAUAUAAUUGUCUCGUUAACUACAUGAAGUAUUACCAUCACAUAAGGACAUGCAUAAAUGAUGCAGCACAUCUUCUUAUCGGGCUUGGUCGUUGCUCUUGUGGGCUUUACACAAUCGACCAAAUGGGAGUUGAUCUUUUAAUUUCAUUUGAUAUUUUGACAUUGUUUUAAUAUAAGGAUGUUAACAUAUCCAUCCCUUCUUAUAUUUGGCUUUAUCUUAUUAGUUGGUGUUUAGGGCUUUAUAAACUUUGUUGCGUCUUUGUUUCGAGUCAGUUUUUGAUAUUUAUAAGAAAAAAACCAAAAAGAGGCAAACCUUUGCCCAAAGAGCUUGUGUCAAGCUAGAGAGGAGGACUCUCAAUAUCCUUCUGUUCAUUUUUACCAUUUCCGCUUACGCCUCUACAUUAUUUGGUAUCAGAUUCAUCUCGUUCUUAGAGAGAAUUUGUGUCAACGUGUAGCCAUGCCUCCAGCCAACAAGAAAGGUGAGGGAGACGACGGCCACCACACGAUGACAACGACUGAUUGGGCUGAGUUUCGUGAUGCUCUGUUGACAUCAAAACACAACCUACAAGCAUAUCUCCUGGAUGCUAUGCGAAAUUUAACAGACACGCUUGUUCACAGUCUCGGAGAUCGCCAUCACCGACGAGGGGGAGAAAAUUUUUGGGCCAUGGACAAUCCGUUUGCUCAUGAGGGAGCACAUCGUGGGGAGUUAGUGAAUUUCCUGCAACAAGACAACCACGCUCAAGAUACACGGUGGAAAGCUAGCUUUCGAGUGGAGAUUCCAGAUUUCCAUGGUGGGAUUCGCUGCGACUCUCUCCUUGAUUGAUUAGUGGUUGUAGAGGAAAUUCUCGAGUUUAAGAAAGUACCAGAGGAUCACAAGGUUGCCUUAGCUACGACACGGUUUCCCGGACACGCCGCAUCAUGGUGGCAACAUACAAAGGCCACACGCAGCCGUACGGUGAAGGAUUAUAUACAUUCAUGGGAAAAACCGAAGAAGAAACUACGAGCCACGUUCCUAAAACACAAUUAUGAUCGCACCAUCUACAACAAGCUACAGAACUUGAAACAGGGGAGUCGAUCCGUAGACGAAUACGUCAAAGAAUUUUAUUUGUUGGUCACUCGCAAUGAUAUUUUCGACAGUCCCAUCCAGUUAGUGUCUCGUUUCAUUGGUGUCUUAAGAGUACAACUACAAAAUGCGAUGUCGCAAUUCGAUCCUACCUCAAUUUCAGAAGCGCACCGUCGAGCUGCAUCCUUUGAGCUCCAAUUUCGCUCACCAUCAUGGUCUACUCCUUCGGCCAAGACACGACCAUACAACCAGAGCACAACCACCACAUCGACCGCGAUAAAAGAACUUGGAACCGCUAAUGAGGUGACAAACAAAGCAGCUCGGGAGGAACAGCCGCUACGCCGUUCCACUCGACCCAAUGCUCUUCGAUGUUACUCUUUUGGUGAGGCGGGACAUCGUCAAACGACAUGUCCAAACCAAACACGUCGUGGACUGCUCAUGGAUGACGGACAAGAUAACUCACCACCAGUUUUCGAUUAGGAAGAAGAUGGAAGAGACGAGGACAACGUGGAAGGUCUUCACACAACUGGCGACACGGGAAGGUUGUUAGUAGCACGGCGGCUCUGUAUAGCACCACCCAGCCGGACAGAUUCUUGGCUGAGACACAACAUCAUUCGCUCAUCGUGUAUAAUCCAAGACCGUGUGUGCACGUUCAUUAUCGAUUUGGGUAGUUCGAGGAAUACUAUGGCGGAGUAUGUUGAGCAGAAUUUGAACAUCCUGGCUGAACCACACCCUACUCCUUACUCGCUUGGUUGGAUGCAAGAUGGCGUCGAUAUUCGCAUCACUCAUCGAGCCUUGGUCGCUUUUACUAUUGGUCAUCACUACAAGGACCGUUUCUAUUUUGAUGUUGCUCCUAUUGAUGUAAGUCACCUAAUUUUGGGUUGACCUCGGGAAUUUGACCGAAAAAUUUUCCAUGACGGAGCAAAGAAUACUUACAGCUUCUACUGGGAGACAUAUCGCAUUGUUUUGCUGCCAACUCUGGAGACUCCUCUACCCGUGACGCCUCCACCACAGGCAGCAUCUUCGACACUGUUCUGUUCUGUAGCUACCUUUGACGAUGAGUUCAAACAAGAGGGGAUCACCUUUGCUCUCUUGCUUCACCGCUGUAGGCGACGUCCGUCCAAACCAUUUCAUCAUAUGACUCCGUGCUGCGCGAGUUCACCGACAUCUUUCCAGAAGAGCUACCGCCGGGUCUCCCUCCCCUCUGGAUAUUCAGCAUCAAAUUGACUUGACUCCAGGUGCAGCUCUACCAAACCGUGCUCACUACAGAAUGAGCCCUCAAGAACACGAGGAGCUCCGACAUCAAGUUGAAGACUUGCUGCGCAAAGGGCACAUUCACGAGAGUCUUAGUCCUUGCACUGUCCCAGCCUUGCUAAUUCCAAAAAGAUGGUUUGUGGCGAAUGUGUGUGGAUAGCCGGGAAAUUAACAAUAUCACAGUCCGCUACCGGUUUCCUAUUCCCCGCCUUGACCACUUGCUGGAUCAAAUUGGAACGGCCUCUAUUUUUUCGAAGAUUGAUCUUAAGAGUGGCUACCUUCAAAUCCGUAUCCACCCCAGGGAUGAAUGGAAAACGGCGUUCAAGACAAGAGAAGGACUUUUCGAAUGGUUGGUCAUGCCGUUCAGGCUUUCCAACGCGCCUAGUACCUUUAUGCGUAUCAUGAAUCAAGCACUACGGCCGUUCAUCGGGAAGUUUGUAGUGGUGCAAGCUAUCAAACAUUGGCGACAUUACUUGGUUCACCGGUAGUUUGUCUUGUUUACGGACCAUGAUGCUCUACGCCAUUUGGAUAGCCAAGCAAAGGUGUCUUCCCGUCAUGGAUUGCAUUUCUUCAGCAACUUACCUUCUCUAUACGAUACCAAUCAGGCAAAACAAACCGUGUAGCUGAUGCAUUAAGUCGUCGCCACACCUUACUCACUACGAUGCACACGUUGGUAAUCGGGUUCUCCAAAUUUGCUGACUUGUAUGGAACUGAUCCGUACUUUGCUCCUCAUCUCGCUGACAUUCGCCAAGGCCUACAUUCUAAAUUCACUAUGCACGACGAUUUUAUCUUCUAUGGUCCUCGGUUGUGUGUUCCAGUUUGUAGCUUGCGGGUCAAGAUUAUUGAAGAAUUAUACAAUGAAGGUUGUCAUGGCAUCAUAUUUUUGGCCUACUCUUCGUAGGGAUGUAGAACGGUUUGUGGAGAGGUGUCGAGUUUGCCAACAAGGAAAGGGUAAGGCGUCGAACUCUGGUUUGUACAUACCGUUGCCCGUUCCCACCCAGCCGUGGACCAAUGUUGUAAUGUCCCUAACCGGGGCCUAAUAUUCAGACGGAAUGGUCAAAGAAUGGAUCAAAGGAAAAUGGAUCAAGGCAAAGGAGAAUUAAUUUUUGGGCUUGAGCCAUAUUUCAUACGACGAUGAAGUUUCUGGCCGAAGGAGUUUUGAGUACGAACGCGAUCACAAGCAUAUCAUUUCGUUUGCAUCCGCAAGCUAGUAGGUUGGUAGGCAAGCUACUGCACUAUUAUGGAUAAGAACAAUAAAUGGAUAAGCAUGAAGUUUAGGAUAAGCAUCACCAUUUGGAUAAGGAUAGAAAUAAAAAUAAGCUAAGUCAAGCCUAUCAAUGCCACCUCGUUGUCACGGACUUGAUCUUUGGUGAUCAAACCGUGCAGCCCUACACCCUCUUUGUCUCGAACAAAUGGACUAGGUAGCCUAACUCUCCCAAUAUUUCCGACCCUUUGUGAGAAAAGAACCCGGAAAGAACGAAAAGAACGAGAAAAGACAAGUGAUUACUGAAUUGCUCUAGUAUUGAUAAAAAUGCUGGAUGAUUACAAAUGAGGGAUCUCACCCCUAUUUAUACAAAACACCUCCUUAGUGGACGGUAGAGAUUAAAGCGUUAUAAUGCCCGAUAUUGAAGACAUCGUCAUAAAUACAAGGAUUUGGUUUGGUGAAAAAGUCUUCCGAGAAUCCUCUCCAAGUCUUUCCUUAAGUGGCUUCGAAGCUCUUCAACGAAAAAGGAUGGAAAAUGCUAAGUGUUUGGUGGGCUUUCUCCAUAGUCCGGCCCGUAUGUGUGUUCAAGUAAAUGGGCUGUGACAUCCUCCCCCACCUAAUUCGGCGACGUCCUCGUCGUUGUGAAUGCCUUGAGUUCCUCUCUGAAUUGCCAUAGCUCUUCUUCUGGUUCCCAUGAAGCCCCCGCUUUUGGUAAACCCUUCCAUUUGAUGAGAAAAUGUGUUCGUCGAGGAACACCACGUUUCCGAACUACCUUUGACGAGAGUACUUCCUCGAUCUCCUUAUCGUAAGACUUCGUCAUAAUGGGUGGUGCUUGAGACGACUCUCCACGAUGUUCGUCCUCAACAUCUCCGUGAUAGGGCUUGAGCAUACUUACAUGGAAAACCGGAUGGAUCUUCAAAAUGUCGGGUAGAUCAAGUUUGUAUGAAACCUUCCCUAUCUUGGCUAUUACUUCAAAUGGUUCCUCAUAUCUCCGGAGAAGCCCCUUGUGCAUGCUCCCGAAAACCUUAAAUUGUUGGCGAAGAAUUUUCACAAAGACUCGAUCGCCUACUUUUUCCAAGCAUACCUGGGCAAAGUCCGCAUGAUCUUCCCAUGUUUUUGCCAUAUUCUGCGCUCCCGGACUUCGUGUCUCGUUGUUCAGUAUGGCCAUGGAAUGGGGAGUCAUCGGUUGCUGCCCGGUCGCCAGUUCGAAGGGACUCUUCCCUGUCGCUUCGCUCCGUUGUAAAUUAUAGGAGAAUUGGGCAAUAUCGAGCAAAUUUGCCCAAUCUUCUUGGUUUGCACUUGCGCAGUGUCGUAGGUAGCACUCCAACAACAAAUUCGCCUGUUUUUUUUGACCGUCGGUUUGGGGAUGAAAGCUUGUUGAAAAACUUAGCUUUGUUCCGAGAUUCUUGAACAACUCCGUCCAAAGCUUCCCGGUAAAUCGAGGAUCACUGAAAACGUAAUCAAUAAUCAAUAAACGUUAUCAAUAAACGUAAUCAAAAUUCCGUCCAACUCUUGUUAUUUGCUUGUUUUGUUUUGCUUUCUUACCAGUAUCAAUAAUCGUUACAUUUUAGCUUAUGCAUGGUAGUCUAUGUUUUACAGCCUUACAUUUAUCGCAUGUUCAACAUGUUCGCUUAGGAUCACUGAAAACGUAAAAUCAUUUAUGCUUGCUUGACUUAAUCAUUUUUGAUAUACCUUGAUUGCUAGCAUCACACCUGAUUGGAUUGAUACGUAUUGUACUGUAAUGACAUGAUAGUACUCUAGGGUAAUUGAUAGAAAAAUCCUAGUAUCAUCGGUUUUCGGACUUGUCUUGUUGGCACACCAAACAAGUCUUCACAUAAAGCUCCACUGUGUCCCUUAAUUGGUUGCCAAUAGUAUACUGCUUCGACCAAGGCCAUCGUACGUUUUUGUCCCGGAUGCCCCGCCCACUGAGUAUCAUGAUACUCUCGAAUGAUCUCUCGUUGUAGGCUCCCCACAUUUGGGACAUAUAAGCGUCGACCCUUGGUGUAGAGUAACCCAUCCUCUACCUAAAAGCGGACAGUCUUCCCCUCCGACGCCAAUCUCAUCAACUCCCUGGCUAUCGGAUCAUGCUCGAGACUCUCCCGAACACGACUCAAGAUUUUCCCCUCGGCUUGACUAAUGUUUGCGAGUUUGGCCUUCUGACUCAACGCAUCAGCCACAACAUUAGCCUUCCCCGGCUUAUACUCCAACGUGAAGUUAAACUCAGCUAGAAAAUCUUGCCAACGAACUUGCUUCAGUGACAACUUCUUCUGAGUCUGAAAGUAAGUUGUUGCCACGUUGUCCAUCUUAAUGGAAAAAUAGGACCCCAAUAGAUAAUGGCGCCAAACACGCAAGCAAUGCACAACGACCGUCAUCUCUUUCUCCUGAACCGUAUACCGUCUCUUGGUGUCAUUCAGCUUGCGGCUCUCAAAGGCUAUUGGGUGUCCUUCCUGCAUAAGAACACCACCGAUGGCAAAAUCAGAAGCAUCGGUUUGUACCUCGAAUGGUUGACUGAAAUCCGGAAGGGCAUGUAUUGGUUCCCGGCUGACCGCCAACUUAAGCUCCUCGAAUGCCUUCUUACACUUAUCGGACCACUCCCAUGACUUUUCAUUUUUGAGGAGAUCGGUCAACGAGGCCGCCCUCAUGGAGUACCCCUCGAUGAAAUGCCGGUAAUAAUUAACAAGACCGAGAAAAGACCGUAGUUCAGGUACCUUAUUUGGAGCUUCCUGACUCGUAAUCGCUGAAACUUUGGCAUUCUCCAUUCUCAGUUUCCCUCUCCCCAUGAUAUGCCCCAAGAACUGCACUUCUUCGGUGGCAAAUGUGCAUUUCUCCCGCUUCACGUAUAACUCGUUCUCUCGUAGUUAUUGGAAUACUAUCUUCACAUGCUCAACGUGCUCCUCCAUGGAGUUGGAGUAAAUGAAGAUAUCAUCGAGAUAUGCUACCACAAACCGAUCCAAAUAGGGCUGAAGGAUCUGGUUCAUGAGUGUGCAGAACGUGGCCGGCGCAUUUGUGAGGCCAAAAGGCAUCACUAACCAUUCGAAUGAACCGUACCGAGUAACACACGCAGUCUUGGGUUCAUCCCCCUCGGCUAUCCGAACUUGGUAGUAACCCUUUUGUAAAUCCAUCUUGGUGUACACCUUCGCACAUCCCAGCCUAUCGAACAAGUCGGCAAUUAACGGAAUCGGGUACCAGUUUUUGAUGGUUACCAUGUUAAGUGCCCGAUAGUGCACGCACAUCCGGAGUGAGCCAUUGUGCUUCUUCUGAAACAACACCGGUGCGCCGUAAGGAGCCUUCGAUGGUCUCAGCAUUCUGGUUGAGAGCAACUCGUCGAGUUGCUUUCGUAGUUCAGCCAAUUCGGAUGGAGCCAUGCGAUACGAUGCCAUGGCCAGUGGUUUCGCUCCAACUUCUAGCUCGAUCCGAUGGUCCACCUCUCUCCUAGGUGGUAAUUUCUCGGGUAACUUAGGCGGCAUGAUGUAUUUGUUCUGCUCCAAGACUUUCUCGAUCACCGGUGGGAUAACAAGCGCUUCUCCAAACUCGUCAUCCAACUUCAACAAAGGGAGAUACGUUGGGUCUUUUUCUUCACUCCCUUCGAGAAUUGCAUCGCCAAAAGUUGCUGAACUUCACCAUCCUUUCGAGCUUCAACGGUAGGCACCAUACAUGGUGAAUUCUCCUCAAGGAUGCACAUUGUACUAAGGGCGGGCAUAGGUAUCGCCGAUACUUGCCUUUGGAAUUCGAGGCCAAGCACGACCUUGAAGUCAUCCAUGGAUACCACCGAGAAAUUCAUGCUCCCCUUCCAAGCCCAAAUACUAAGCUCCACCCCAUGUGCGAUCCCGUGAAGUGGUUGAGCUUUGGCGUUCACUGAUUUCAACCAUCAUUCACCCUUUGUCCAUGUCAGACCGAGCCUUUUCACCUCUCCCUUGGAUACAAAAUUGUGGGUUGCACCUGUGUCCACCAUUGCUUGUGUGGCUCGUCCGUUGACAUGGAUAUCCACGUACAUCAAUCCUCUACUCUUCGCCUUCGACGUAGUCUUGAGGGCGUUGAGUAACUGCAACGACCCGAUUAUUCCAGUCUCUUCUUGACCAUCGGCUUCCAUUUUUUCAAGGAGAGCGGACAAUGACCCCAGUUUUGGGCAAUCCCUCGCAGGAUGUGGCCCUUUUCACACGUAACAACUGCUCCUAGGGACAAAAGAAUGCUUCUUUGCUUCAUACUCUUCUUGUCCUAAACUCUUCCCCGAGUUCCGAGUAUAAGACGAUGCCGGCUGGUCUCGCCUAUCUCCAUUACCCCUAGGCGCUACUUUCUCCUUCUUCUUGUAGGAAUCAGGUUGAUUUUGGGUGACAAAAUUGGAAAGCGACUCAGCUACAACAAUUGCCUCAUCCACGGUGCUUACAUUCCGCCGUUGCAACUCUUGCUUCGCCCAUCCUUGCAGUCCAUCAAUGAAAUGGAACACCAAGUCUUGAUAGGACAAGUUUGGGAUUUGCAACAUGAGGGUAGUGAACUCCUUCACAUAGUCCCGCAUCACACCCCUUUGGCGAAGCUCUCUUAGCUUCCUCCGUGCCUCAUACACCAUAUUUUCAGGGUAGAAUUGGCGCUUGAGCUCCUUCUUAAACUCCUCCCAAGUGUCUACCCGACAUGUUUCCCGCUCAAUGUCCGCAUGACGCCUCUGCCACCAUAACAUUGCCGUAUCGGUAAGGUACAACGUGGCAGCUUUUAUCUUUGCAGUCUCGUCUCCGAGCCCGAGAUUGCCAAAGUACUGCUCUAUUUGCCACAAGAAAUUCUCAACUUCUUUGGCAUCUCGUACCCCAUCAAAUCGGGAUGGUCUCGGGUAAUCCACUAUACCCAAAAUUGCGUUGCUAGUCCCCCCACUGGCAACAGCCUUCUUGCACAAGGUAAGGUCUUCUUGCAUCGCCUCGAUGCUCACCUGCAAUGCUUGAACCGCCCCCAUCAUCUUCUCUUCCAGUCGGACGAAUUGACUCUCCAUUCCCCCCCACGUUCUCCUUGACUCCACUAAGCUCGGAGAACACAAUUUUUUGAGUUCGGAGGCCAAGUACUCGACACGCUCGACCCUCUCCCCCAACUCGUUCACCACAACAACCAGAGACCCGACCUCAUCGCGAACCCUGCUCUUCUUGCGCUUACUCGCCUUCCUCGGAGCAUGGACAUAUGCACUCUCCGUCACUAGGUUGAUGUCCUCUCCGUCAACAACGAUGUUUUCAUUGUGACCCACCAUCUUUCAGUAAGUUUCAUUAAGUGGCUUCGAAGCUCUUCAACGAAAAAGGCUGAAAAAUGCUAAGUGUUCGGUGGGCUUUCUCCAUAGUCCGGCCCGUAUGUGUGUUCAAGUAAAUGGGCCAUGACAUCGUGCUUCCAUAGCUUCCUCCCCAAGUAACCACGUCCUAUAAAUACCCCCUCUCCUUUUCAUUUGUUCGUCACACCAAAAACCAACAAAAACUUUCCCAAGUGAGUAAGUGUCCGAGCUUGUCCGUGGUAGUAUCUGAGUAGGAUCGCCAAGAGUCCCGAAGCGUGUGAGGUAGCACACGACUAGGAUUAUUUAAAGUAUUUAUUUAUUUAUUAAUAUUUAGCAUGAGAUUAGGGAUUAUUAUAUUGGCAUUAUUUGUGGUAAUGGUGAACUGUUCUUGAUUGAUGAUUAUGUGAUAGUAUAACAUCGCGAUAGAUAACUGUUAUGCUAGCAUUUAGGGGCAUAACCAUUAUGCUGUCGGAUUGUUAUAUUAUUUAGUUGUUGGUUAUGCUUUGGUUAGAUAUCUAGCACUAAUCGGAUCGUGCUAUCCUCGUCGUAUAUGAUACGUUAGGUAACGUGAUUAUAUACGGAGGCUCGGGGCUGGGUCGCGACAGAUCAGGCAGCUACAUGACGAUGUAGAGUGAAGGGAUGACAGAUCUUCUAUAAACUUUGUGUCUAGAAGUGUAGGGUGUUGCCUUGAGGAUAUCAUUGAUUCGUAGGGGCCCAAAAUAGGAUCGAGAUGAGAUGUAUUACUUGCAUUUUGGUUUACUGCUUAUGGCUUCUAAGCCAUAAUGCUUAUUGAUCGCCAUUGCUUGUGAUUGGGGGUUGGGUUGGGUUAUUUUAGAGAUCCCGGACUUACUGAGUAAUCUAAGAUUACUCAAGAUUCUACCAAUUUUUUUUGCAGGUAACCAGUAGUGGGAAAACCUUAGGGGAAGCAAAGGACGUUAGGCCAACCGGUGUAGAUUUCCUUGCCUUUGUAAGAUGUAGUUUAGUGUAUAAUACAUAUGACUCUAUUUUCCCGAUAUUAAUAAAGCGAUGCGUUUAUAAACACCAUGUCUCCCAUGAUGUUAUUAGUCUUGUCCAGACUAACACAACUCGUGUUCGCGGUACGGGUUGCAAAGCCAUAGGCCGUGAUCUUGAAGAACGACUCCUGCGGUUGGACGGCCUAGGCGUACGAAUUCGUUUCGGGAGCUUGAGUCGGCCGCCUACGGGCGUCUAACGUGACGCUCUUGGCUCCUUCUUGGCCUAUAACGGGUCGGGGGUGUUACAAGUUUGGUAUCAGAGCAUUGUUCACUGUGCUUACGGGACGCACGUUUUCAAAAAAAAAAAAUUAUCGAGUAAAUAUAGUCACAAAGGAAAUUAGGGAACUGGUACUUCCUUCUGCAAUUAGGUAGAUGGGAUAGGAUUUUACCCUUGAAUGUUGGAUGCAAAUGUCUUGCCAGAAGGUGGAGAAAUGAAUACCAUGGGGUAGAGUACAUUACUUCCCCAUUGGUUAUUCAUCAAGCAAGAAAUUCGGAAGACGUAAGGUGAAUGCCAAUGGAGAAGAUAAACCUUAGGAUUAUAUUACCCUUCUCAUUAGGUAUCAUAACAGGUAAGUAUGGGUUCUAUCUUUGUCCUUUUUAUCGUGUUUUGUGUGUUGAUUGUUUGUUUUAUUUCAGGUAAGUGUUGGUCUAGUUAGGUGUAGUAUAUUAGGGGAAUGACAACCCCAUAUGUGUCCAGAAUUAGGAUUUUAGUCUUUGUGUAACCCCAAAGACUAUGAAUCCUAAGAGUGAGAAAUCUAGAAUUUAGGAAACCAUAGUUUUCUAGUAGAAACCACCCUUUACCUUUUGGUGGUGACUUGUGGUGUGGAAGUAAGGCAUGUGGAGAUAGGUAAGCUGUCAUGUAAUAGUAACAAAAGGAAAAAUGAAGAUUGAUAAAUAGAGGAGUCCCUAGUAUGGUUGUGAUGCCAAUACCCAUGAAGGAAGGAACCUUCACUAGAAAAUGGAAAAGUUGAUAGUAGUAUGAAGGAUUGAGAGGAAGAAGCGAGUGCAGAGUAUUCUGUAAGGACAAGGCGAAGAAAGUUUGCGAGGACAAAGAAGGAGUAUUCAUUCUACUCACAAAAGAAGAAAACUCAGAAGUAGAUUUUAAGGUUCGAAAGAAGUAAAUCAUGAGGAUAUAAUCAAGUGCGAAUGGGAGGUGAUCAAGAGGAUUUUGAAGGGUCAUGACGACCCAAUGAAGCAGCUAUCAAGCAAUGAACUGGUUAGAGAGGACCACUUAUCAUGCUUGAUAGAGGAACGGUUCCACAUAUGGAGUAAUGGUGGCACCAAGCAGAGAGCAGAGAAGAUGGAUUCAUGGAAGGACCCAAGAAGAAUCAUCUAAUGGAAAGGAUAAUUAGAAGAAGAGAGUGAGAAAAUGGAGUCAAGUAUAGUGGAGAAACGAAAAGAGAAAAUUACGGGACAAUAAAAGAAGUGAAAAAGAGGACAGCAAGAUUAACCCCAUGAGAUGGAAAUCGUGAGAUUAAAAAGACUAUAUCUAAAGACAAAGAUAGCUAGAGCAAAGAGAAUGGAGAAGUUUGGUGUACUUGCCGAUGAAGGGUGUUAUUCGAAAGACGUACUUUACAUAUAGUCAAGUUAAGUCGAAGGGUAGAUAUAUUCACAAGGCGCAAGAGGGAACGUAUGUCUAAGAAGAUGAGAAUCAGAACUUAAAAAGAAGUUAAGGAAGAAAGAGAUUACACAAUGGAAUGUAUUAAAAGCCUAGGCCAUAAUUGAAAAAUCAGAGGAAGUGUUGAUUCUAACAAAAUCUUGGAAGUGAGACGAUAAGUUAAUAUCAAGGAAGACAUCAAAAAGGAAGAAAGUUAAAGAUGAAGAUGCAGACAAAAACAAGGAAAUCAAAGAGGAGUGGAAGGUGUGAACCAAAGAAAAUGGUUACACCAUAUUUUAGGAAGAAGAUGAAGACAAGAAUUGAGCCGUACAAUAAGCCAAAGGGGAGGAGAGUUGUACAUCGAAAAAGGCUAGUGAAGAAGUGUAAUGAUAAAGAUAGGUGAACAAGGAAAUCAAGAUGUUGGACUAAGAGCCAAGAAAAGAAGAAGAACUGUUGAAGAGUCCAAAGAGGUUGCAAGAAAAUAAUGGAGUACUAUUGAAAAGACCCGACCCGUUUUUUUUUAUAAAAAAAUUAUUAAUUAAUAGUCUCAUACCUACUAAUUAACCUAACGGAAUUAACCCAACAAUAAAUCAUCAUGCACAGCGGAAACAUAUUAAACCAACAUCAAAUAAUCAUAAUAUUAAUUAACCAAUCAUUCAGUAACCACAAUUUACACCAGCAACCUAGCAUGCCUCUAAACCAGGUUCCAACAAUAAUUAACAUAUUCAUAACAUAACAACCGAGACCCUAAAUCAUCCUCCUCUCCUCGCUAUGAUUCCACGGAUCACACUAUACAUGCACCAAAAACACAAUAAGAUGCGUGAGUAUUAUCACAAAUACUCAGUGAAGCGAUCCUCCCAUCUACUGGGCUAUACACACAAGCAUAUUAAACCAAUCUAACAUGCGUCAAAUUAACCAAAACAAACAAACCAGGCAUAAAAAGACACGAAAUACACGCUGUCCAGAAAAACUGUCCAAAAAUUUGGCGUCGAGCGACACCGAUCCCGCAGAAACUCUGAAAUCGCCUCUCAACUCCCCAGAGAACGAAUCCAACACCUCAAAAGCUCCAGCUAUGAGCCCUAACACUCAAACAUACAAUAACAGCAACCAAAACACACAAACAUGGCCACACAAAACAAAUCCAGCAAUCCAAAUCAAUCAAACACACAUAAGAAAGGUUAAACAUGCUUAGAUCAGCCAUAGUCACGCACUCACCUUGAUAUGGAUUGAAAGAAGGACAAAACAAAGAGGAACAGAAAGAACAAGACCCUCCUUGCACCACCAGCCACGAAUCCAACCCUCUCCUUGCUAGAAGUCACCAGAACUUGCCACAGAAACCUCCAAAAACCCUCACAAGCCUCUUCUUAAUCUUUAGGAACAACCAACUCACAACCCUCUCUCUCUCUUUUGUUUUUAAGAACCGACAAACGCCAUAGGUGAGAAAGAAAAGCUGCUUCCACGAGUUUAAAGUCGUGCCUAGGGUUUUCUAAUCAAUUCCAAUUAAACCGACGGUUUAAAAGCUAAACCGUCUAACCCAAUUUUGUUGGUGUCGAUCGACACCCAACACUGGUGUCGGUCGACACCACCAAAAUUUCAGACACGGGUAUUACAAUUCUCCCCCACUAACAUGGAUUCGACUUCGAAUCCUUCAAAACCAUCCGUCAGCCCACCACUGACUUCCCGAGGCCCCUAUCUAAUCAAUAUACUCACGUUCCAGACCCUAUUUGCUCAUACACACCUACCUCCCCCGUCCAUAGGUCGCAACCUAUGAAUCAUACCGGCUCGUCCUCAGGCCUCAGCCUUAGAAUACGGUAUCUUGGAAGUCUCACCACUCCCUCCGCUCUCAGGUCGCAACCUUCGAGUCAUACCGGCUCACUAUUAGGCCACCAGCCUUCAAGCUACGGUAUCCGGGAAGUCUAACCACUCCCCCCAUCCACAGGUCGCAACCCAUGAAUAAUAACGGCUCACUAUUAGGCCUCUAGCCUUCAAGCUACGGUAUCCGGGAAGUGUCACACUCGCUCUCGGGUCGUCACCCUUAAGCGUUCUCUCGAAUCGUCAUCCGAGACUAUCACAUCUCAUCCGAGACUAUCGCAUCACACCCGAGCAAGUAAGUCUAAACGCCCCCGAGCAUAUCUCUAGAUUAGAUAUAUCUCUCGUGGUUCCCCUAUAGCAUCACAAUGCUAUACUAACCACAAUCCCAAAACUUUCUAAAAAUAGAACUGUCAAACCCGACACUUUCUAAUUUUAGAAACUCACACAUAUUUCUCUUCACAUGACACCAACAAGUCAAAAAUCACCAAAAAAAACACAACUUACCGUGGAAUCUCAUUGAAGGCUCGAGAGGAUGAUCUAGGUCUCCAUGCUCAUAUAAUUGAUUAAACACACAAAUCAAUCAGCAUGCAAUCCACAUCAUCAUUUCUCAUCAACGAAAUUCACAUAUCACAUUAAAAAUCACCAAUUUACUCCCGCCCCAGAACCGUAAGGGCUCUGAUACCAAAUUGAAAAGACCCGACCCGUUUUUUUUAAAAAUUUAUUAAUUAAUAGUCUCAUUUCUACUAAUUAACCUAACCGAAUUAACCCAACAAUAAAUCAUCAUGCACAGCGGAAACAUAUUAAACCAACAUCAAAUAAUCAUAAUAUUAAUUAACCAAUCAUUCAAUAACCACAAUUUACACCAACAACCUAGCAUGACUCUAAACCAGGUUCCAACAACAAUUAACAUAUUCAUAACAUAACAACCAAGACCCAAAAUCAUCCUCCUCUCCUCGCCAUGAUUCCAUGGAUCACACUAUACCUGCACCACAAACAAAAUGAGAUGCGUGAGUAUUAUCACAAAUACUUAGUGAAGCGAUCCUCCCAUCUACUGGGCUAUACACACAAGCAUAUUAAACCAAUCUAACAUGCGUCAAAUUAACCAAAACAAACAAACCAGACAUAAAAAGACACGAAAUACACGAUGUCCAGAAAAACUGUCCAGAAAUUUGGUGUCGAGCGACACCGAUCCCGCAGAAACUCUGAAAUCGCCUCUCAACUUCCCAGAGAACGAAUCCAACACCUCAAAAGCUACAGCCAUGAGCCCUAACACUCAAACAUACAAUAACAGCAACCAAAACACACAAACAUGGCCACACAAAACAAAUCCAGCCAUCCAAAUCAAGAAGACACACAUAAGAAAGGUUAAACAUGCUUAGAUCAGCCAUAGUCACGCACUCACCUUGUUAUGGAUUGAAAGAAGGACAAAACAAAGAGGAACAGAAAGAACAAGACCCUCCUGCACCACCAGCCACGAAUCCAACCCUCUCCUUGCUAGAACUCACCAGAACUUGCCACAAAAAACUUCCAAAAACCCUCACAAGCCUCUUCAUAAGCUUUAGGAACAACCAACUCACAACCCUCUCUCUGUCUUUUGUUUUUAAGAAUCUACAAACGCCAAAAGUGAGAAAGAAAAGCUGCUUCCACGAGUUUAAAGUCGUGCCUAGGGUUUCUCUAAUCAAUUCCAAUUAAACCGAAGGUUUAAAAGCUAAACCGUCUAACCCAAUUUUGUUGGUGUCGGUCGACACAACCAAAAUUUCAGACACGGGUGCUACAACUAUGCUACUUAUGGACAAAGUAUAGUACCUACAACAUGAUCGUAUGCUGGAGAAGUGAUAAUACAGAUCUACCCAGAGUCAAAAUAGAAUCGACUGAAACACGAGAAAGAAGUAUGAAGACUACCUGAGUAGUGCUUUACAAGAGAAGAAUAUUCAAAGUGGUAUCAAGAUCAAGAAGAGUAAAGAGUUGAGAAGAAUGGUAUUAAUAAAAUGUUUAGAAGGGUGUAUCACAAAGGAGAUGGUUCUUAGAAAAGUCGUUCAGUACCACGUAAAAAAGUAGAAGUGUAAGGUCCGAGUCUAUUUGAUAUGAAAGGAAAUUAUCAAAUACUCGAGACAACAACAACGAGAAAAACGAGAGAAUAAGUAAGUUAGACAAAGACAAUAGUGGAGACAGAAUAAAGUAAAGCGUAAGUCGCAGUUCCAGAAAAUUCGAGGACGAAUUUUUAUAAGGGGAGGAGAAUGUAAUGUCCCUCACCCGGGCCAAAUAUUUAGAUGGAAUGGUCGAAGAAUGGCUAUCGAAGGAAAAUGGAUUAAGGUAAAGGAGAAUUAAUUUUUGGGCUUGAGCCAAAGUAUUCUUUGAUGAAUACAAAGCUUUUGACCGAAGAAAAAUGGUAGUCAGACGAUGAAAAUCAUAUUUCAUACGACGAUGAAGUUUCUGGCCGAAGGAGUUUCGAGUACGAACGCGAUCACAAGCAUAUCAUUUUGUUUGCAUCCGCAAGCUAGUAGGUUGGUAGGCAAGUUACUGCACUAUUAUGGAUAAGUACAAGAAAUGGAUAAGCAUGAAGUUUAGGAUAAGCAUCAACAUUUGGAUAAGGAUAGAAAUAAAGAUAAGCUCAAUCAAGUCUAUCAAUGCCACCUCGUGCUUCCAUAGCUUCCUCCCCAAGUAACCACGUCCUAUAAAUACCCCCUCUCCUUUUCAUUUGUUCUUCACACCAAAAACCAACGAAAACUUUCCCAAGUGAGUAAGUGUUCGAGCUGGUCCGUGGUAGUAUCCGAGUAGGAUCGCCGAGAGUCUAGAGUCCUUAGUAGCCAAGCCAAGGUAAGUUCUGAAGCGUGUGAGGUAGCACACGACUAGGAAUAUUUUAAGUAUUUAUUUAAGAUAAUUAAUUCUUUAUUUAUUUAUUUUUUAUUAAUAUUUAGCAUGAGGUUAGGGACUAUUAUAUUGGCAUUAUUUGUGGUAAUGGUGAACUGUUCUUGAUUGAUGAUUGUGUGAUAGUAUAACUUCGCGAUAGAUAACUGUAAUGGUAGCAUUUAUGGGCAUAACCGUUAUGCUGUCGGAUUGUUAUAUUAUUUGGUUGUUGGUUAUGCUUUGAUUAGAUAUCUAGCACUAGUUGGAUUGUGCUAUCCUCGUUGUAUAUGAUACGUUAGGUAAUGUAAUUAUAUACGAAGGCUCGAGGCUGUGUCACGACAGACCGGGCAGCUACAUGACGAUGUAGAGUGAAGGGAUGACAGAUCUUCUAUAGACUUUGUGUCUAGAAGUGUAGGGCAUUGACUUGGGGAUAUCAUGGAUUCGUAGGGGCCCAAAGUAGGAUCGAGAUGAGGUGUAUUACUUGCAUUUUGGUUUUUUGCUUAUGGCUUCUAAGCCAUAAUGCUUAUUGAUCGCCAUUGCUUGUGAUUGGGGGUUGGGUUGGGUUAUUUUAGAGAUCCCAGACUUACUGAGUAAUCUAAGAUUAUUCAAGAUUCUACCAAUUUGUUUUGCAGGUAACCAAUAGUGGGAAAACGUUAAGGGAAAAGGACGUUAGGCUAACCGGUGUAGAUUUCCUUGCCUUUGUAAGAUGUAGUUUUGUGUAUAAUACAUAUGACUCUAUUUUCCCGAUACUAAUAAAGUGAUGCUUUUAUAAACACCGUCUCUCCCAUGAUAUUAUUAGUCUUGUCCAGACUAGCACAACUCGGGUUCGCGGUACGAGUUCAUAGUCAUAGGCCGUGAUCGUGAGGAACGACUCCUGCGGUUGGACGGCCUAGGCGUACGAAUUCGUUUCGGGAGCCUGAUUCAGCCGCAUGCGGGCGUCUAACGUGAUGCUCUCGGCUCCUUCUUGGCCUAGAACGUGUCGGGGGUGUUAUAGAUGUUAUCAUGGACUUUGUUUUGGGCCUUCCUUGGCCCCAACGAGGGCACGAUUCUAUCCUUAUGGUGGUGGACCGAUUCUCAAAAAUGGCCCAUUUCACCCCCUGCAAGAAGACUACCGACGCAGUUAGUGUCUCUAAUUUGUUCUUCCGUGAGAUCUACCGCCUACACGGGCUUCCGUCGUCCAUCGUUUCUGAUCGGGAUUCCCGUUUUCGUAGCCAUUUUUGGAGGUCUCUUUGGAGGUUGUUGCGUAAUAGUCUCGACAUUAACACUGCCUAUCAUCCUCAAACGGAUGGUUAGACGAAAGUUAUUAAUCGUUCUGUGGGUGAUUUACUUCGUUGUUUAAGUUGUGAUAAUAUCAAGAGUUGGGAUGCUAAGUUGUGUCAAAAUGAGUUCGCUUAUAAUCAUGCCGUGAACCGCAUCGUGGGCAUGAGUCCUUUUCAAGUGAUUUAUGGUGUUGUUCCUUGCUAUCCAUUGGACCUUGCUCCUCUACCGGAUGAUAUUCAUUUGCAUGGCCAGGCAGAAGAUUUUGUGGCAAGCUUAAAGGAUGUCCAUACGCAAGCUCAUCACAAUUUGGAGACGUCUGUCGCUAAGUACAAGGCUACUGCUGAUCAUAAGCUGUGUGAGGUAGUUUUUGAAGUUGAUGAUCUUGUGUGGGUUGUUUUGACAAAGGACCGUAUGCCUCUUCGGGAGUAUAAUAAGCUGAAGUCGCGGAAGAUUGGACCGGUCGAAAUUGUCGCCCGCAUAAAUGCUAAUGCUUAUCGAGUAGCUCUUCCUCCUCACCUCAAGACGUCGGAUGUGUUUAACGUCAAGUUCCUGUCUCCUUUCCACGGGGACAACGACGGCUUGGAUUCGUGGUCGAAUCCUUCCCCACCGGGAGGGACCUGAUGCAGCGCAUCUUCUUAUCGGGCUUGCUCGUUGCUCUUGUGGGCUUUACGCAAUCGACCAAAUGGGUGUUGAUCUUUUGGUUUCAUUUGAUAUUUUGACAUUGUUUUAAAAUAAGGAUAUUAACAUAUCCAUCCCUUCUUAGAUUUGACUUUAUCUUAUUAGUUGGUGUUUAGGGCUUUAUAAACUUUGUUGCGUCUUUGUUUCGAGUCAGUUUUUGAUAUUUAUUAGAAAAAAAACCAAAAAGAGGCACACCUUUGCCCAAAGAGCUUGUGUCAAGCUAGAGAGGAGGCCUCUCAAUAUCCUUUUGUUAAUUUGUUACCAUUUCCGCUUACGCCUCUACAUUAAUAAACAAACAUGAUUAUAUGUACAACACCAUAACCAUCCAUUUCCGAUGAAUUUUUCGCCGGAAUCCGGCGUUGACCGAUAUUGACCGACGUUUACCAACAAUAAAAAAGAAAAAUAAUUUUUAUAAAAAAUAAGAAAGAAUAUAUAAUUUUCUAGUAAAAUUAUAAAAUGAAAUAUUUUUAAAAAUAAUAUACUUAACAAAUAUACUUUUUCUUUUUUUUUUCAAUUAUUUUUACUUUGUAUUCAAAUGUAGGGUUUUAAUUAUUUUCUAGAUAUAUACUUUUAUGUAAAUAAUAUUUUAAUUAUAUUUCUUCUUUUUCCCUUAUAAAAUAUAUAUAUUUGGCGAUGCCAUAGAAAUAUUUGAAAUGCCAUAAUCUCAUAAAUUUUAUAUCUAUAUUAACAUUUUUGAAGUACCUUUUGGAAAAUAACCUUUUAUUUUGUAUUAUUUGCAUAAUAAAUCCUUGCCAUUUAAAUAAAUAACAAAUUUAAAGAUAAAAUUUGUAAUUAAAUUACACCAGAAUCGAAAAAUUAGAAACUAAUAUAUAUUACAUUUAACAAAAUUUCCUAAAGUUUUCCCUAAUAAAUUGAAUAUCUCUCCAAUAUCUUUAUAUGAUCUUAUUUGUUUUAAAAUUUACAUUAUUACAUAAAACAUAAGUAUAAUAAAAAUACAAAACAAAUUUUGCAUAUGUAGCAAUUUGAAUUUUUGAAAACAGACGUAUAUUACUCAAUCGAUAAAAGAAAAAAAAAUAUAUGUAUAACGUCCCACAUCGGGUAGAAAAUUUUAGACAAUGGUUCGGAACCAUUAUAAAUAUGACUAAUAUGAAACUUAAAAUCCGAAAUCUUGAAUGGAAGAUUACAACAAAAAAAGUUUUACUAAAUUUUAGGGAAUCCAAAAUUUUAAAAUAUUGAUUGGUUAAAAAUGAGUUUUUGGAAAACAAAAACCAAAAUCUCUCUCGAAAUCUAUAAAUUAUUCAAGUUUUAUAUUUACAUAAAUAUGAUUUAACGGGCUUGAGUUAUAUGUUUUUCUUACGAGUUAUCUUAUGGGUUAACAAAACAAAAGAAAAUAACAAAUAUAACUUAAACAUAAUUUGUUUAGUCCCGCAAGUUAGAAAAAAAUAUCCCGCGAGUUAAGUAAUAAAAAUAACAAUCAAAAAUACAGUUACACAAUCUUAAACACUAAAAUGGUAAUAAAAUUAACAAAUAUAACUUAAAUAUAUAUUUUGUUUAGUCAAAACAAUCGUCUCGCGGUGUACCACGGGUUAAAACCUAGUAUAAAUAAAAACUCAAAACAUAUUUAAAACCCCGACCUACGACUUUACAAAAGAAAAAAAAUGAUUUUUUAAUAUUUCGUUAUAUUACUAUAUAUAUAUAACUAAAUUUACCACGUAAAAAUUUUGUGGUAUACUUUCUUUACUUGGUAUAUUUGUUUUUAUAUUACCAAAAUUGUAUAACAAAAUAUUUCACAAAAUUUAUUGAGAAACUGAUACCAAUAACCUUUUUAUGAUACCCUCUUUUAAAAAUACCCUCUUUUUUGCAAUUUUCAUUUUUGCUCUCUUUUAAAUUUUAAUGGUCAUUUUACCCCUAGUUCAAAGAAUAUUCUUUCCCAAAGGAAGGAAUAUUCCUUUCAAAAAUUUUCCCCCCAAAAAUUUCCCGCCAAAAAAAUUUCCGAGAAAAAAUUUCCGUAAAACUUUUCCCGCAAAAACAAAAUAUUUUUACAAAAUUUUCCCGCCAUAUAUUUUAAAGGGUUUACAAGAUUUUUUAAAGGGUCUUUUAAAGGGUUUACAAGGGUUUUAAAGGGAUUUACAAGAGUUUUUAAAUAGUUUUUAAAAGAUUUGUAAUGGUUUUUAAAUGAUUUUUAAAUGAUUUACAAUGGUUUUUAAAUUUUUUUAUAAGUUUAUAACAGUUUUAAAAGGAUUUACAAGGAUUUUUAAAGGUUUUUAAAAAGGAUUUACAAGUGUUUUUAAAAGGACUUACAAGUGUAUUUAAAGGCAUACAAAGAUUUAAAAAUAGUUUUAAGGGAUUUACAAGGGGUUUUAAAGGGUUUUAGAAGUUUACAAAGGUUUUUAAAGGGUUUACAAAAGUUUUUAAAUGUAUUACAAGUUCUUUAAAAUGGUUUUUAAGGAUUUACAAGGGUUUUUAAAGGGAUUUAGAAGUUUAUAAAAGCUUUUAUUAAAUGAUUUAUCACGGUUAUAAGGGGUUUAAAGGGAUUUACAAGUGUUUAUAAAUGUUAUAAAAAGGGUAAUUUAGUCCUUUGGUACAUAGAAGAGGGUAUUUUUGAAAAUGGACACCUAGAGAGGGUACUUAUAGAAAAGGGUAUCAUAAAAAGGUUAGUUGUGCAAAUCCCCCAAAUUUAUUUGGUAUAUAAGUUUUGACCUUUAAUGUGAGAUAAAAAAAUUUUACUUUUAUAAUAUGUUUUGAUAUUUCUUUUGUAAAAUUAUGUAAUAUAUUUACCUAUUUAUCAAAAAUAGUUAAAAUAAAAAAUAAAAUAAUUAUGGAUUUUUUUUUAUAAUUUUUUGUUGGUCAUCGUCGGUUAGGCAUGACGAUGUUUACGGUUUAUUAACCACCGGUUAUGGUUAUAAAUAUUUUUUAACCAUAACAUUAACUUUUAUAUAUACGGUUACAACGGUUAUGGUUAUAUACAGUUACGGUUAAAUCCGGUUACGGUUAUUUGAUGUUUAUGAUAUAAAUAAUAUUAAAGGCAAAAUUUUAUAUUUUCUUACCAUAUCAAAUAAUGUUUAUUUACAAAUAUGAAAUAUAUGUAAUUAUAUGAUUCAAAUAUUUAUAGUACAUUAGUUAAAGAAAUGAUUUUUGUUUAAUCAAAGACAACUACAAAUAUAUAAACCAAUGGUUAUGAACCUACAAAUAUUUAAAUUAAAUUAUUUUUGAUUUGAUUAAUGGAAAUGAGUAGUGGAAUGGAUUAGGGUUACUAGUUGACAUAUUUAAUCAUUUUGUUUUUUUUCAUGAACAUAUUUAACCAUUUAAAACAUUGUUUUAAUGAGAUAAUUUUUAGAUAAAUUAUCUCUAAUAACCUUUUUAUCAUACCCUUUUGCAAAAUUAUCCUCUUUUUUUGUCAUAAUCAUUUUUGCCCUCUCUUAAAUUUUAGUGACCAUUUUACCUCUAGUUGAAUUCUUUCCUUUGAACGGAAUAUUCUUUCCAAAAUUUUUCCCGCCAAAAUAUUUUCCUACCAAAAUUUAUAAAUGUUAUAAAAUGAUUUACAAAGGUUUUAAAAGGUUUACUAAAGUGUUUGAAGGUUUUGAAUGACUUUUAAAAGAUUUACAAGGGUUUUAAAAAGAGUUUUUAAGGGUUUUAAAAAAAUUUACAAGGUUUUAUAAGGAAAUGCGGAAAAAUUAUGGCUGAAAAUUUGGCAGGAAAAUGUUUUGGCGGAAAAAAAUUUGUCGGAAAUUUUUGUGGGGAAAUUUUCGGAAGGAAUAUUCUUUUUUUGGAAUUUGGAAAUAAUAUUCCUAUUUUCAUGAUGUGUUAUAUUAAAGGAGGGUGAUUUAGUUAUUUUGUACACGGAAGAGGGUAUUUUCUAAAUGAACACCAAAAGAAGGUAUUCUUACAAAAGGGUAACCUAAAAAAGUUAUUUGUGCAAAUCCCCCUAAUUUUUAUUCGAUGUUUAAUUUUACGGUUAACCGUACAGUUAACUAACGGUUUUAUACGGUUACGGUUGAUAACGGUUACGAUUAAUAUUUUUUAUAACUGUGAAAGAUUUAUUUUUACAGUUAACGGUUAUGGUUUUUAACCGUUUUAUACGGUUACGGUUGAAAAACAGUCUGGUUAUAGUUAGAAAUACGAUUAAAAUAAGAUUUUAGUCAUGCUUAACGUUGGUCAAUGCCGAUCAAAAUUGGUCAACGCCAUAUUUCAGCGAUAAAGUCACCAAAAAAAAUGGUUAUGGUAUUGUAUACAUAGCUUAUGCUUGUUUAUUUAUGUCCUUAUGUAAUAACAAUAGUUCAUGUAAUUAACGAAACAAUUAUAUUAUUUACAUGUAUGUAGCUGAGAAUGAUUUUUUCAAUUUUAAAUAAACAAAGCCAGACUGAACUCAUAAACCUUUUUUUAACACCCGAUAACACGGUAUGCUCAUUCUUGAGUUUACAUCUUUUCAUUUAAUUCACGUUUGACUUUAUUUUUUGUUUCUACAAACUCGACCGACUUCAAAUAAACUAGCAUCUUAUUUUCUUUUUUUUUUUUUUUUUCUAAGAAUGUAAAUAUCAUUUCAUGAAAUGAAAGUUUAGGUAUUACAUCAAGUAAUUCCUAAAUACAUGGUUCUAUGCCAAAAAAGUUUUAAAAACAAAGAAGCAUAAACAUUCGAGCUUCAAAUCAACAUCUAAAACCACAAGCGGUAAAACUAAUGGGACGUCGAGAAGAGAACUCGAUAAAAUGACUCCCCUAAGGAAAAGAAGGCAAGAAACAAGAGCAUAAAGGGAAAUAGGUGGACAUCAGACUGUUGUGGAAGCGAAGCGGAAGUCCCUUCAACGUGAGCCCGAAACCAAAAAAAGCAGCGGAGCAUCACGAGCUAAAGGUGGCAGGCAAUGUUGUUCUCUACCGAGACCCCAACAGUAGCGCGAACAAAGCAACAUCAUAUCCUCCAAAAGCCAUACUAACACCUCCAAAAUGCAAAGAACAAUCACAGUAAACCACAACCAAACUGAAGUUUCACUAGCCACUACAAAUACUUAGCUGAUGAAAGAGAGCGAAAGGCAUUGAAGGAGGUGAACUAAGGUAGCAGAAUAAACUCAAACAUCAAGUAGAAAAGCUAACAAGCGCGACAUAGCCGGAGUUGCGUGGACAUGCCAUCGAAUCUGCGACGCAAGGCUAACCUCAAAACCUGUAUCAAGCAAAGACAACUACUCCUUCCGGCUGAAACUCACUAGAAGCCUGAACAAGCAGAAAGAGACUCGGGCAAAUCAAGUCUAAAGCAUUAAGUCUGCAAUGACUUGGGAGAUGGCACGAAUAGCGAUGGAACCCGGUGACCAAAGGAGCAAGAGAAGUCGGCUCUUGAAAGGAGGCAAUACAAAUAACAACAAUCUUCAUGAAUAAUCCAUUCCCUCUGCAGACCUAUGAGCUGAAGAUCGGAACAACCAGGAUUCUGCAACCUAAUCACUAACCACACCAACCUAAACUCCAACAAACAACAGAGCUCACUGUACUCAACGAAGAGACAAUAAGACAGGGAGACCAACGACUCUAAUUCACAGAGCGGCAGCAGCGGCGAACAGCUUGAAGACUAGCAGCAAACGAAGGAAGGAGGAGAGCAGAAGCUUACCAACACAAAGGCGGAGUAACAAAACACCGCCAAACCUCUACCAAAGGAAGAUCCGCCGCACGCCAAAGGGAAGGAGAAGAGUGAUGAAAGAGACCACAAAUCUACAAACCACUUGCCAGAAAAGCCAUAGCACCACUUGAUAAAAAAUCAAGAAGUCGAGCGAAGCUAAACAACACUCAAAAUCACCAAGGUUCACCGCGUGUAGAGACGUCCUAAAAGUCACCGUCUUCAAGCAACCAUAUAAGGAGCGAGCACGCCGUGGCGGUGAAUUUACCGAAAACGCUGAAAGGUCCCCAACAAGUCGACGCCUUUUCAAUCGAAGGAAGAGUUUCCAGAGAACGAAGCCACUUAGAUCUGUCACCAACGCUCGUCAAAUCACAGUUGUGAAGGUGCCCAACCGAUGAACGGAGAACCGAGAAGCCCUCUCACGGCCAUGGCGAGAGGCGCCAAUGACCGGAGAGGCAAGAACUGCGGCAGAUCUAGGUUUUACAAGCAGUGGCUGUGGGGGGAGAAAAAUCGCAUGCGCGUCUCGGACACGCGCCCGACUUCGAGGUUUAGUCUUUAUUUUUUUUUAUAUUUUUUUUUAAGUGUAAUUUUCCAAUCCACAAAAAAAAAGACAAAAUUACAAAAAAAAAUCAUUUUUGCCACAACUAAAUAAACCGGCCGGUACAAAUUUCGAAUUUUGGUGUCAGAUUUUGUAUUUUUCCAAACCACAAAUAAAAUUGAAACAUAAAUAUUUCAAUUUGGCCACAACUAAUUAAACCGGGCCGGUACAAAAGCUGUAUUUUGUUUUUGGAGGUUUCUUGCUUUAUCACCACCGCACAUCUUCGUCUUCCUCGAGCUUCCUCUCCACGGCGAAGAGUCAACCCAAAGCUUCUUCUUCUUCUUCUUCUUCUUCUUCUUCUUCUUCUUCUUCUUCUUCUUCUUCUUCUUCUUCUUCUUCUUCUUCUUCCUACAUAGCUCUUGUGUAAUCUCAUGGUCUUACUAUGAAGGCUUCUAACUUCAUGUGGCCUUCCACAUCACCCAGAUUCACCAUCACCACACCUUAUCCACACCCACACUUACGCCUCCGCACGUAACCUCACGCGCCGCCCCAUUUUUACAGGUAAAAGCUUUCCAGCGCGGUGACUUCGACCGUUUCGCUGAUGAUGUUAAGUCCGGUAAAGCUUGGAGAGAUGCAUGGAGAACCGCUAACGAUGGAUUCGAACAAUUUGUCUUUGAUGCUAAGAAAACCGCCGAGCGAAUUGAUCGUCAGUACGCUGUUUCUCACCGGUUUAGCUCCGCUGCUAGUUCCGCCGGACCGUGCUCGUGAGAUUGAUCGUGAAUUUGGGAUUAGUCCUUGUGUUAGGAGUCUCUCUGCCGAUUUUAGUAGAAAUUUCCCUAAGGUAUACUUAUGAAUUGAGUUUUUGGUUUAGCUUCUCAUGAAGAUGAACUCAAUUUCAUGUCUUGAUUGUAAUUGAUUAAGUUUUUCAUGUGCUAUGCUAUUAAGCCAUUCUCAUGGUAGAUUUUAGAGUCAAAAAUCCGAACCGGAACAGAUCCGAAAUAUUAGACCCGAUCCGAACCCGAAAUUUUAAAUUUACCCUAUUGGGUCCUAAACUCCUCUACCCGAAAAUCCAAAUCCGAACCCGAACCGAACCCGAACCCAAAAAUACCCGAAAUAUAAAUGUAUAAAAAUAAUUUAGGACUUGAAUACCCGAGUUAUCUAUUCAAAUAUCAUAAUAUAUACCCGAAAUUCUGAUUUUUUACCCAAAAAUCCCGGUAUAUAUUAAAAAAAUUUGAAUUUGUAUCCGAAAAUCUGGGUAUUUACCCAAAAAUUCAGUAUUUGUCCGAAAACCCGGAAAUUUUUGGGUAUUCGGGUAAACUUUCGGCUAUUUGUGGACCCGAAAAAUUCUCGGAAUUUUAACGAUUCUGAAAAUUUUUACCCGAACCGAACCAAACCCGAAUGGACCCGAACCGAAACCAAACCGAAUUUUUAUGUUUACCUUAUUGGGUCCUAAACUACUCUACCCGAGAAACCCGAAUGGUUUUUAUCCGAACCCGAUCCAAGUACCCGAAUGCCCAGGGCUAGUCGCUAUUGUCAUUAUUGAUAAUGUUAUAUUAUCAGGUGGAGCAAAAUUGGGUCUAGCCCAUCACCUAGUUAAUUAUAAAACUUUUCAAGAUAAUAUACGAAGAUCAGAUAAGAAUCUUGAAAAAGAUAUUGGGCCUGGUUAAAAAGUUUUUUGUUCUAUUUUUUAAAGUUGAUAAACAAAGUUCUUUUGCAAACAUAUCAAACCCGUGGAAUAUAAAUGUUCUUUAUUGUAUUAAAAGACGAGUAAAUUUUGUAAGUAAUAGCAGAUUUUAGAGUAAUUUGUAAAUAAAAAAACCCCAACAGAUCAAGCCCAAUAAUUAUUUGAAAAAUUGCAAAAUAUAAGAUAAUCAUCCAAUAAGAUUAAUGGAAGCCCAACAAUAAUAAAAAAUGACUAUCCCAAGAAGGACGGGUCCAUCAAUCAUGUGGAUUGAUCAAUUUUUGUGUAAGGCAUAAAUUGAUCACAGUAGAAAGAUGAGAGAUGUAUCUUGAAAAAGGGAUUGACCGAUCUUAAUGAAUAAUUUUGGGAGACCUCUUGUGGUAACCAAUAAGAAGAAGAACGUGCAUGUGCGGAUUGGUAGGAAUAAAUCGAUGUAGUGAGAAGUUUUCUUCUAAGUGUUCCUACCAACACAAAACUUUGAAAGGUUACCACAGCGAUCCCGGAAGGAAUGCUGGAGUAGUCAAAGGAUGGGGGACCUUCCGGGAAGUGGUUGUCGAAACUGUGUGAGUGAGGCCACAACACAAAGAAAGAUCAUGUGGUGAUUUUUAGGGCCGGUAAACAAGUCUUUAAGCCUCCUGGACGUAGCAAACUGGCCGUCGAAUAUUGGUGGGCUCACAGGCCUAGUGAGAGGACGUGAGGCCCACUAAGAGAGGUGGGCCCAUGGGCUGGUGAUGAACAUGGGGCCCACUAGAGAGGUGGUGGUUGGGGCGUUACACUACGCCACACAUAUGAGGGUCGAUAACCCAUUUUAGUCUCCAAGAAAAGCACGUUUGGGUAAUAUACUGCUUUAUAAACUCUGGCCAGUAGAGACGAAGGAGAUUUAGAAGCCUCCAUGACUGUUUUGCAAGCAAAGCUUGAUUAAACCUGCCAUAUCACGAAAUCCCAAUCCUCCUCUGUCCUUUGAUCUACAAACUUUCUCCCAAGCAACCUAAUGCAUCUUGUCUUUAUCCUCAUGAGCACUCCACCAAAACUGCAUCACAACACUUGUAAUUUGCUUUCUUUGAUGCUUAGUCAACUUUAAACAGGACAUUGCAUAAACAGGAAGGGUCAUUGCUAUAGAUUUUAACAAAACUUUCUUCCUGCCGAAAGAGAGUGUCUUCUCAAACCAGCCACUAAGUCUUGACUUCAAUCUAUCCGUGAUAAAGUUAAGGAGGUCGUGCUUUGAUCCACUAAAACACUCAGGAAGUCUCAUGUACUUGCCAUCACCACCUUCUUGUUCAAUACAAAAAAACAGCCCUAGCAUCUGUUGCAUGUAAGGGUCUAACUUCUUCCCAAAAGUAAUCUCCUACCCCAAAGCCUUUCCAUCCAACUCAAGGCAUUUCAAAUAUUCAGUACACUCUAUAAGGCUUGCUUGAAAAAGGAAAAGACUAUCAUCCACAAAGAGCAGAUGUUGAAUCGAUGGACAGGAAGGUGAAGGUUUCAUUCAUGUUAAUCUUCCGUCAAGCUCAGCUUUAUUCAUGAUGUGCACCAAAGCUUCAACACAAAGAAUGAAGAGAAAAGGCGAUAACGGAUCACUCUGCCGUAGUCCUCUUUGGGUUGAAUAUAUCCAUAUGAAGCUCCAUUAAUAAGAAUAGAAUAUGAGACCAAGGUAACACAACUCAUUAUCCAUUUCCCCCACUUGAUAUUAAAACCUAGCCGACUAAGUAGCUCUUCUAAAAAAGACCACUCAACUCGAUCAUAAGCUUUACACAUAUCAGCUUUAUAACCAUGAAAUCUUCAUCACAACUAGUAUUUGUCUUCAAGGCAUGAAUGAGUUCAUGUGCAAGUAAAAUAUUGUCUAAUAUCAACCGGCCGGAAACGAAAGCUCCCUGAGUAUCCGAGACAAUAGAAGGUAAAAUACAUUUUAAUCGAUUGCACAUAACCUUAGAAACAAUCUUGUAUAGUACCGAACAAAGACUAAUUGGUCGGAUAUCAGUCAUCUUUGAUGGAUUUAAAUUCUUUGGGAUCAAACAAAUCUGUGUGAAGUUCCACUCAGGCGGUAAGGAACCAGAUUCAAAAAACUGUUGUACCUCAGAUAUAACUUGAGGCCCAACAAUGUCCCAAAAAGAUUGAUAAAAACACCCCGACAUGCCAUUAGCUCUUGGGGUACUGUCACCUCUACUGAAUACUGCCACCUUAAUCUCCUCGCCUGAUACUGCAUGCACUAGAGCAGCAUUCAUCAGAGAUGAAACGCGCGGAAGCUAACCAUCCAAAGCUUCUGAAAUGAGGCAUGGAGAGGAGCUCGAGAACAUUUUGCGGAAGUAAUCAACAACCACUUCUUCUUUUGAGCUUUCAGAGAACUGCUCAACACCCAUGUCAUUAAAUAUGGAGAUAAUUCUAUUAUGAACUCGGCGUUGUUUAACACUCCCAUAGAAAAACCGAGUGUUCUGAUCACCGUUACGCAUCCAUUUUUCUUUGCUCUGCUGCUUCCAAAAGAGUUCUUCCUCAUAAUAAGCCUCAACUAAUUUCCACUGUAGAGUUUUCAUAAACUAAAAAUCUGGUAUUAGUUUAGCUCCCUCAAUUUAAUGUUCAUAUAACAGCCUCGAAAUAUUCUCCUGAGAGUUCUGGUUAGUAGAUUUCCAGAGAGAUAUAGACCUUCUACAAUCCUCAAGACGGCUCAUUAAGGAAUAGUUAUCCAAAGCUAAACCUUUUUUUCCAACCCUCUCUACCUCAGAGAAAUCCGUUCUCGAAACCCUCCUUUUUUGAAACAUAAACCGGCCUCGUUACAACGUGUUUUCAUUCACAAACCUUGUGAUGAUAAAGCGAUGAUCAGAGCCAAUCCUUUCCAAAUACUUAGUUUGCACCCUUGGAAAAAGAUGAAACCAAGCUACAUUACCAAGAGCUCUAUCAAGCUUACAUUGCAUCCAAACUUGAUUGUGUUCCCCAGCCCAUGAAAAUUUAUUACCAAUACUAGCAAUUUUCGGUUUACCAGACACCGGAUCAAUGCCAACUUCAUCAUCAGUCAAAAAUCCAAACAAACGAUCAUCCUUACUAAUUUUUGGAACAAGACGACUUAGAAUGAUCGAUUUAAUUCUUCCCGUAGCAACAGCUUGUCGGUUUGAGGGAUUAAACGGGCAGCGUUCCUUGUCAUGAGUUAGCCUUUGACACUGAUUGCAUCGGUGGCGGAUUCUCUCAUACUCCAUGCCAAUGUUAACAUCUCUCCAUAUAUGAUCUAGAGUUCUCUAGAAUUAUUCAAGGGUUUGUUUACAUCAAAUAGAACUCUAACUCUGACAUAUCCCUUGCUUAGUGGUUUCAAGGGAUCAAAAGCAGCAAGAGUAACCUGUCCAAUAUGCGCUACAAUUUCCUUAAUGGUAUCAGCUGUGUUAAAGUUCACCGGAAUAUUGCGACGACGGAUCCAUAUUGGCAGCACUUUCAAGUAAUCAGCUGGCUGUUUUUCCACCCAUCGCUCCAGCGUAAUAUCCAGUCAUUGAAGGUCCAAGCACCGGUAUCUAAGACCGUAGUUAACUUAGACUCUGAAUCAAAGAAGAACUUAAACUGUUCAUUAGAAAGAGCUAUUCCUCUAGCUCUGUUGUACACUCGCCAUAAGUGAGGCAUUUCAUGAAUCAAGUCAGACAUCUUCUGGUUCUCUGGGCACAAAAGACGACCAAUGAUACUACUCUUGUUUCGCAAGCAAGAACAGAACUGCGGAAGGUUUUGCAGCACAAUCGGUUUAUCAUCUUCAAUCGACAUCUCAUGCAAAGCUCUAUCCAACUCAUACUCUAAGACUGCACGUAAUUAACUUAUCAAACAAGGGUUUUGAGCUUUAACACCAGUAGGUUCGACGACGGCUCUCAAGAACACGACGAAAUUGGUUAAAUAUAUAAAUGAUCUCGAAAGAUUCUGUAACAAAAGUGAUAGAAACAGAAAAUAUUCUCCCAAAUCCGGCGAAAACAAAGAUAUUCCCGGUUUACUUAAGUUCUCUCCCUAGAGAUAAAAAUCGCCUCUCUUUUUACUAUGAUUCCUUGUGUCAUGUACUAUUUAUCUAUUUACUCAUUAGUCAUUACCAAUCUAUAUUAACAUUUUUGAAGUACGUUUUGGGUUAUAACCUUUUAUUUUGUAUUAUUUGCAUAAUUAACCCCUUGCCAUUUGAAUAAAUGAAAAACUUUCAAUUAAAUUUUGUAAUUAAAUUAUAAUAAAAUUGCAAGAUUGGAAAUCAAUAUUUAUUACAUUUAAUAAAAUUUCCUAAAAUUCCCUAAUAAAUAAAAUAUUUCUCCAAUAUCUUUAUAUGAUCUUAUUUGUUUUGAAAUUAUAUUAUUACAUAAAACAUAUGUAUAGUAAAAAUAUAAUUUUUUGCAUAUGUAGCAAUUUAAAUUUUUGAAAACGAGCGUAUAUUACUCAAUCGAUACAAAAAUGUAUGUACUAAACUAUUAUUGAUAAUUGUGAUAAUUGUGUAGCACGUGUCAUGUGAUAUAACGAGUUAUAAAUUACAUAUAUGUUUUUAUGGGUUGUCUACUAUAGUCAAGCUCACAAAAUAUUUUAAUUCCAAAUUAGACUAUUUGAACUAAAGAUGUUAUGCCAACAUCAUUUCAUUAUUUUGAAUAUUAGACUUAUAUAGUUAAGUUGUCAAAUUACGAUGACAUACAAACAAAUUAUCAUGCCAUAUUUCAUUAGAUAAAUUAUAGAAUUAACAAUCAAAAUACAGUAGUACAAUCUUAUAAACCAACCAAAAUUUUUUUAAAAAUUCUUUUUUAAAAAUAUCGUCCCGCGGUGUACAGCGGGUUAAAUUCUAGUAAAAUAUUAAAUCAGCACUACUAUAUUAGGAUUUAACAUAAUUUUGUUCAAUUAACUAAAAUCAUAACGGAAAAUCGAAUAGGUUACUAUGUGCAAAUCUAAAGGCUGUGUAGUCUACAAUAUUACAAAUUUCUUGGUCAUUAACAAAAAGAAAGCUACAAGAUUAAGAAUUUUUUGGGCAUAAUACUUUAGUAUUGUGUAUUUCCAUAUUUCUUGAUCUCGUAUAUUUGUGUAUAUUAUCUAGUUUCUAUUGCUUAGAUAUAAAACUUGGGCAAUACGUUUUGUAUGUUUGUGUAUAUACUUCACCUAAGCAUUCUAAUAAAACACAUAAAACAUUAUCUAUUGAUCGACUCUAAAUUUAUCAUGGUAUCAGAGCAGUAAUCGAAUUCUGGGAUUCUCUUUGUUUUUUUUAGAUUUGAUUUCGUAUCUUUGUGACGAUGGCUGAAGAACACAGAGCGAUGGUACCUGCGAAACCGACGGAGAAUCAACGACGAACGAUCUCUCCUUAUGACCAAACCUUGAACGACAACCCCGGAAGCAUCAUCUCACGCCCUUUGUUGUAUGAAGAUAAUUACGAAGAGUGGGCCGUGAAUUUGGACACCGCUAUUUACUCUCGAAAGAAAUUUGGUUUUCUUGAUGGCUCUAUCAAGGAACCAGCUGAAAACUCGCAGGACUAUGAAGAUUGGAAACCUAUCAAUGCUCUCAUAGUCUUCUGGAUUAAGAUGACAAUCGAACCGAAGCCCCUGUCGAAUAUCUCUCACAAACCGAUUGCAAAAGACUGGGGGGAUCAUAUUCGAAGCCGGUACCGUGUGACCAACGGUCCAAGGAUUCAGCAACUCCAACAAGAUCUAGCCAACUGUCAACAAGUAGGUCUUAGCAUUGAGACAUACUACGGACUGCUCACAAAACUGUGGGAUGCUCUCAUCUGCUAUCGACCUCCUUUGGUGUGCACAUGUGGUCAUUGCACAUGUGAUCUCAAUGGUGAGGAUGAAAAACGAAGGGAAGGAAACAAGGUUCAUAAUUUUCUGCGUGGUCUUGAUGAAUCGACUUAUGGAAUGGUGAAAUAGAAUUUGAUGGCUCGAGAUCCUCUACCUACGUUGGCAGAAAUAUACUUAAAAGUUACACAUGAUGAAGAUGCUCGCUUGAAGAAGAAAUGCUUUGAAGAAAAAAACUGAAAAUAUGGCGUUUGUUGCACAAACACAACGACCUCGCUCUCAUUAUGAUGAUAAAACCACAAGCGUUAUGUGCACAAAUUGCGGUCGAGCUGGGCAUCAAGCGGACUUGUUUUCAAAUCUUGGGAUUUCCUUAAAAUGGUGGGGUGAUAGACCAUGGAAUCGAACCGGUCGUGGAAGAGGAACAACUCCGGCAGCUAGUGGUACACGGGGUCGCGGUGGUCCUGCUCGUGUAAACGUUGCAAAGAUUGUUGAAGGACCUGGUCUCGGGGUGGCAAAUGUAGCUGUAACAGAUGCUGACCAUGAUGCUGUUUUGGGACUGACCGAUGAGCAAUGGUUGAGCAUUCAACGAGUAAUGAGUGCAGCAAAAACUGGUACAAGCGAACAAAUGUCUGGUAAGAUACUCUCUCCUUCUUGGAUUUUAGACAUAGGUGCUACUCAUCACUUGACUUGUAAGAAAGAGAUUCUUAAGAACAUACAAAAAUCUACACCAACUCAGAUUAUGCUAGUAGAUGGUAGAGUUGUUACAAGUGAAACAGUUGGUACAGCUGUGUUCAAUUCGCACCUUAGUUUGAUUGAGGUUUUCUACUUUGAGAAUUUGGGCUUUGAUUUGAUCUCGGUAACACAACUAAUGGAAGAAAAUAAUUGUGUGAUGCAAUUUGCUGUUUCAUUUUGUGUUCUUCAUGACCGUACUACGACGACGCUGAUUGGCAUAGGUGAGCCGGUUGGGGGUUUGGUAUAUUUUCGGAACACCGAGGUUGUUGCAGCUGCGAAGGGUCUCACGAAUUAGAGUGGAGCUGUGGCAUCGUCGCUUGGGACAUCCAUCACCAAAAAUAGUGGAGAUGCUUUCUGAUUUCAGUUUUAGUAGUAGUCGUACUUCUAUGAAUAAACUAUGUGACAUAUGUACUCACGCUAAACAAACUCGUUGUUCUUUUCCGUUGAGCAUUAAUAAGACUUCAGAGAUAUUUGAAAUGAUUCAUUGCGAUAUAUGGGGACAAUAUAGAGUUCCGUCUUUCUCUGGGGCUAGAUACUUUCUCACCAUUGUUGAUGAUUUUUCGCGUGGAACUUGUAUAUAUCUCAUGAAUGCAAAGAGCGAGGCACCGACAACUUCAAUUUUGUUUUCCUCUCGUAGAACGACAGUUUGGAAAGCAAAUUCGAUCGUUACGUAGUGAUAAUGGAAGUGAAUUUUUAUCACUAAUGACAUUUUUUUGGAACACGACAUACGUCAUGAGACCUCGUGUGUGGGAACACCGCAGCAAAACGGCCGCGUUGAGCGUAAACACCGUCAUUUCCUGAAUGUUGCUAGAGCUAUUUGUUUCGAAGGUCAUUUGCCUAUUGAAUUUUGGGAAGAGUGUGCUCUAGCUGCAGCGUACCUCGUCAAUCGGACACCAUAUGUGAUUCUACAAGGUAAAACUCCUUAUGAAAAUUUGUAUAGAGUUAAGCCUUCUCAUGAUCAUCUUUGUGUUGUGGGUUGUGUAUGUUAUUUUCAUAAUCAAGACCAUCACGGGGAUAAAUUUGCAAGCAGAAGUCGCAAAUGUGUAUUUGUGGGUUGUCCUGAUGGGAAGAAGAAAGGAUGAAGAGUCUUCGAUUUAGAAAAAGGAAUUUUUUGUGUCUCCUGUGACGUUAUUUUCCGAGAAGACACUUUUCCAUACCAAAAGAACGAUACACAAGACAUUGGUUUGGUCGAUGAGCAUCCAUCGUUGCAACCACAAACCUGUCUCGAUGAAACUCUAGUCUCUCACCCGUCUCUCAUGGAAGAUACACUGGCAGUUGUAAUUCCAGCUGCAGACACGUCGAAUUCGAGUGCAUCUUCAGCGGACGACAGCUCUAACGAUGAUGCAGUGACAAGUAACUCUGAAAAUGGAGAAGAACAUGUUGACUCCAAAAUCGAAGUAGAACUUGAUAUGGAUAAUGCUCCAAUUGCUGUUCGCAAAGAAGCUUGCCAACGACGUCCACCGGGGUAUCUCGCUGACUAUGAUACUAAACUUCUGUAACUGGAUCUACUAGUUUAUAUCAUCUAUCCGAUGUGCUGUCUAACGAACGCUUCUCUGCAAGUCACAAAGUGUUCUUGGCUGCUAUCACCAUUGCAAGCGAACCGAAAAUUUUCUCUGAAGCGAUGCAAGAUGCAUGCUGAAUAGAUGUAGUUGGAAAUGAAAUUACCUCUCUCGAACUGAAUAAUACGUGGACGCUUGAAGACUUACCUGACGGGAAAAAGGCCAUUGGUUGUCAAUGGGUCUUUCGUAUUAAACACCGUGCUGAUGGCUCCAUCAAACGUUACAAAGCAAGAUUAGUUGUUUUGGGAAAUAGACAAGUUGAGGGUGUUGACCAUGGUGAGACAAUUGCUCCAGUUGUUAAAAUGGCAAAAGUACGUUCUUUUCUUGCCGUGGUCUCUGCACGAAACAGGGAAGUAAGAUGGACGUCCAUAACGCUUUUCUACACGGUGAUUUGGAAGAAGAAAUGUACAUGAAACUUCCUCCAGGUUUUUCUAAGCAAAAUGAUGGGACCAAGAUGCUGAUUUGCAUCGCUUAAGAAAGUCUUUAUACGGUUUAAAGCAAGGACCAAGAUGCUGAUUUGCUAAACUUUCGACGUCUUUGGAAAAAUAUGGGUUUCAACAAUCUCAGUCCGAUUACUCUUUGUUUGUGUUCAAGAAAACGGCGACUGAAAUAAAAGUUCUUGUUUAUGUGGAUGAUUUGGUUAUUACGGGAAAUAAUGUUGAAGCAAUCGAAGCUUUCAAAUUAUAUCUCAGCACAUGGUUCCACAUGAAAUACCUUGGUGUGUUGAAAUAUUUUUUGGGAAAUGAGGUAGCUUGAAAUUCAGAAGGUAUAUAUUUGAGUCAGAGAAAAUAUACACUUGAUAUCUUAUCAGAAACAUGACUACUAAGCUCACAACCUGCUGCAUUUCCUCUUGAACAACAUCAUCAACUUGGCUUGGCGAAAGGUUCUCUUCUACCCGAUCCCAAACCAUACCGACGAUUGGUUGGGAAGUUGAUCUAUCUCAACGUCACUCGACCCGACUUGUCUUACUUCGUGAACGUGUUUUCACAAUUCAUGAAAGCUCCUCGUGCAGAUCAUUGGACAGCAGCACUACGGGUCGUUCGAUAUUUAAAAGGCACCCCAGGUCAAGGAAUCUUGCUCCAGUCCUAUUCUGAUCUCCAGAUUUUGGCAUGUUGUGACUCCUCAUAUGCUGAUUGUCCAUUGACUCAACGAUAUACGGUCGGCUGGUUUAUACAACUCGGUGCAUCUCCUAUCUCUUGGAAGACAAAGAAACAACAAGUGGUUAGUAUGUCUUCUGUUGAAGCUGAAUAUAGAGCAAUGGCUUGGACGACAAAGGAGCUGAUAUGGCUAAAGGCAUUAUUUCUUGAUCUCGGAGUUAUUUUGAAGUAACCUAUGCGACUGUUCUGUGACAACACCGCUGCCUUGCAUAUUAAUGCUAAUCCGAUUUUUCAUGAACGAACCAAACAUAUUGAGAAGGAUUGUCACUUUAUAUGCAAUGAGAUUAAAUACGGGAACAUCGCAACAGCAUAUGUCUCUACAAAGAUCCAGCUAGCUGCUAUUCUCACGAAAUCUUUGGGAGAGAUUGAGUUCAGCAUGUUUCGGUCCAAGCUGGGCAUUUUGAACCUCCAUGCUCCAGCUUGAGGGGGGGGGGGGUAAUACAAUACUUUAGUAUUGUAUAUUUCCAUAUUUCUUGAUCUCGUAUAUUUGUGUAUAUUAUCUAGUUUCCUAAUGCUUAGAUAUAGAACUUGGCAAUACGUUUUGUAUAUGUACUUCACCUAAGUAUUCUAAUAAAACACAGAAAACAUUCUCUAUUGAUCGACUCUGAAUUUAUCAAGGCAUGAACACAAAAAUAAGCUACAUGGUGACUCCUCACAAGUUUCUAAUCCAUGAACGUAGAUAGAGAAAGAAGAAGUCGUGAGAACGGUCUCCCUCUAUUAUGGAAGUUGAUAGGCCAAGCCCGAGUGCUUCAGAGGAGUUUGUUUUUUACCAGAGACCUUAGUUUAUCAGUAGAUUACCGCUUCUUGAGUACCUUCAUCCAUGGUUAGGUGUUCUGAAUGUUGCAGCCAAGUUGAUUCAGGUCCAAAGAUGCACGUUUCUCGUGGGAACUAUCAAGAACUUGGUCAAGGCGAUUCAGUUACUCAUCUUCACUACAACAUGCGUGACAUGGUUUACAUGUUAGUGCAUACAUCUGAAGGAACGGUAGAUGCAACAAAAGAGAGGAAAGCUCUGAACCAAGAUCACAAGUUGGAAUCUUCUCCCACAGAUUGUAGCGGAGCUCGAUGGGAUAUCUUCAGGCGUCAAGACAAUACAAAGCUCGCUAAGUAUCUGAAAAUGAAAAGGAGAAAAUUUCAGAACUGAGUAUGAAAAUGAAAAUGAAAAUGAAAAUACUUAAAUUAGAGCAUGGGCAUCAGUAGAACUCAGAGAGAAGUCGGUUUCAUUAUACAGCGACACACAAGGUUUAGAUUAGUGUAUCAUUCAAUACUUAAACCAGCAAACAUAAAAUUUAAAAAUAAAAACAGUUUUGAUACAAACCACAAAAGCAUAACACAGUCUCGUUUAUUAUUCGAUUGAUUCGCUGGUGCCCAAGUUGGUAAGAGAUCAGGUUCGGCUACAAAAACAUAAGAACCAAAAAGAAAAAGUCAAUGAGAUUCAGAAGAAAUGUUCGUCUCUAUUAGAAAAAAAGGUGACACGGUAUAUAUAUGGGUAAAUUGGUUUUUAGAAUCUAUUUUGCCAACAAACACUUCAUUUCUCUUUCAGAAAAGAAAAAAAAGUUUUAUCAAAGAGGCUAAAGAGUUUCUAGACGAUUCGUCGAAUACCUUCAAGGGCUUCAUCCAGUUGAUGAACUUGAAAACCAUCAUAAUCUGCAACACAUAGUCACAUAGCAUCAAACAAGUUCCGAUGAAACUAACUAAAAGUGUAGUUUAGACUAUCUCCGAUGUAUUCCACUAUACAUAGAGAAAAAAACACAGUUUCUCUAUAAAUAUAGGAAAAAAUAGAGUUCUCUAUUAUAGAAGAAUACAUUGGAGUAAAAUUUACCUCUAUACUACAUUUCCUCUAUUUUAGAGAUAAAAGUAGGGGAAUAUGCUCUUACGCAACCUAUUCUCCUCCCACACAAAUAGCUGAGAAAAUCAUAAUUUACCUAUUAGUUCCCGAAUUCAUUCAUUAGGUUGGGUUAUCCAUCUAACAGAAGGGAUGUGUUUGACUUUGUAAUAAUCUUCUCCUCCUUCCGACCAUCUAUUCUUCCAUUCCUCUCCCAUAUUAUAAAAACUCAGAUACUUUAAUGAUCGCAGCACAUCAUCAGGAAUCUCCUUUAGUUUCUUGCAAUUCGAAAUAAGAAGAUAAUUGAGAAGUGGCAUGGAGCCUUCUUCUACUAUCCACUCUUCCCACUCAUCUAAUUCAUGAAAAUGUAGUGACUGCAACUGAGGGAACCCACCCCUAGAGCAAACCAUUCUCCUCCCACAUAAAGAAUUUCCAUGCAGACGAACAAUUUUCAAUUGACCAAACUUCUCUAGAAUGGGCAUCGGAUCCUCCUCCAAACGACAGUCACCUAGGACCUGCAGGCUUGUAAGGCUUGAAGGAAAUAGUAAUUCAUCAGAUAACAAUGUAAUACAUAUCACCAAACUCAGCUGUUGGAGAUUAAUGAAUUCGAAUAGACUUCUCCAUUCUUUCGUCCCCUUAGCAGCCCCGUUAAGUGUUAUAUCAAGAGUUUCCACCUAUCGAUGCAGAUAUGGUUUCUAAACUGCUCUCACCAGUUAAUCUGAUUUGAAGAAUCCUCAACAUGGUCAUACCACAAAGAUCCUCUAAACUGCAAUUCUCUGUUGAGAAAUUAGUCAAGGUCUCCAAGUUUACUAGAUGGCUCAAUUCCAACUUUGUCUUCAUAUGCAUAUCAUAUGGUAAUGUAAGGUUUCUCAAUUCUUUCAUCCCCUUCAAGACAUUAGGCACGAAUAUAAACUCUCCAUCCACCUCUAACUUUAGAUAGAUCAGCAACUUUAGAUUUCCUAGAGAAGAGGGUAGAUAAGAUAUGUCCGCACCUUCUAAGCUCAGAUAUCUUAAGUGGGUGAGCUUUCCAAUGCUAGAAGGUAACUUCCUUCCUUUGAAAGUGACUCUAGGGAGAUCUAAUACUCUCAGCACUUGUAACCUUGUAAAGCUUACACAUGAAACUUCACAACCGUUAACAAUGAGAGAUCGAACCUUUGAAUUAUUUAUAUCUCUCUCAACAUGUAAUGCAGACAGUUCAUGUGAGACAAAUCUUCGGGAUGUACUAAUAGACGGGGAGCUGUUACCGACAAUUUGUAGGAAGUUUUCUUCUUUUGCUUUUGACAAACAAAGAUCUCUCAUCAAGUCAUGCAUACGGCAUUUUUCAAAUCUCCAAGUGGUACCGACUCUUUCAGAUAUAACCAUAUUUCUCUUUACCAAUUCUUCUAUGUUGCUAUCUACAACAACUCUAGUGGUUUCUCCAUUGGUACACUUGACUAUUCCUUCUGCAGCCCAGUAAUAGUGCAAUUUUUCGAUACUUAUUUCGUAAUCUUCUGGAAAAUGGGCCAAGUAGAGGAAGCAAUACUUUAAAUGACCAGGCAGCUCUUCAAAGCUCAGAGACAAUACACGGUUCAAUAAAUUGUUGUUGCCAUCAUUGCCUCUUCCAACGAGAUGAGAUUCAAUAUUCUUAGAUACUCGUUCCCAGUAGAGUUCUGUGUAAUUUUCAGCCAACAAUCUUCCUAACACCCUGACAGCCAAAGGCAAUCCCCCACAAUGUUUAAGCAUUCGUCUACCCAUCUCUUCCAUUUCCUUAGCAACUUUCUUCGGUUCUACACAACAUCAUCAAACAAAUAAAAAAUACAUCAUUUAUACCAUGAAAAGAAUUUCAGUUCAGUAUGAUGUAAUAAUGAUAUACUACAAUAAGCUAUUUUAAAGCUAUGUCUACCGAGACAUAGGUGAUCCUCGUUAUGACGAUGGUCUCCGUCUCUGGUUCUCCACCCGCUAAUAUUUUUAAAUUCGGUUUUAUUUUCCAAAUACUUUCUAAUUUUUCAAACCAACUGAAACAUUCUUUGUACACAUGGUUUUUGAUUGAAUAAAAUUUUACAUUCAAUUAAAAAAAAAAGCUAUGUCUUGCGAUCAUCCCUUCUUGAAUGCUUACCAGAUCCAUUCAUCAUUUAUGUGAUCAAAGUCUAUUAAAAACAUAUAUAUCCCUUCAUUUGAAUGCUUACCGGAUGCAUCUUUCAUCGGCAUCGCUAUUCUUUGGAAAAGUGUCCAACUGUUUUCAUCAGAUAGGCAUUCUGGUUUGAAGUUGAUAAAUGGUUCUUCACGUCCAGCGACUCUUUCAUUUCGUGAAGUAAGUAGCACUUUCCAACCUGUACAACUUAAAAAUUAAUAUAACACAGAGAGCAUAAAGAGUGUGAUCUGGAAUUUUAUCUUUCUUUCAUCAUCACCUUUUUUGUGUGGAAAUAUUGGCUUGAUUAGGUUCCAAUCUUCUUCUUUCCAUAUGUCAUCAAUGACAAUUAAUGAUUUUGAUGUUUCCAACAAUCUAGAGAGUUCAUCUUGGAGUCUUUCUUCUUUCAUCUGCAUGAUUUCGUUUUCUUCUGCUUUGGUUCUGAAAUUUUGCAAGAUAUUUUGCCACACAUUCUUCCGAUCACAAACUUGUGAAACACAUACCCACGCAAGUCUAUCAAACUUCUCCGUAACCUUGUCGUGAUGAAAAGCUUGUCUAGCAAGGGUGGUUUUCCCAAGACCACCCAUCCCGGUCAUUAGAACAAUUGGAUCAUUAUCUUCCUCCACCAAAUAUCCAACCAACUUCUCUACGUUUUCUUCCAGCCCCACAAGAUUGCUUUUUUCCUGUCUAGCGAAUUCUUUUCUUUCAGGAAGAGGUUCUGGAUCCCUCAUGUCGCCAAUAAUCUUUUGUACUCCUUGAGUUUCCAUAUCACGAAUCACCUUAGAGAUCCUAUUACUUAAGCUUCCAAUUUCUAAAGCGAUUUCCCUGCGUUCAGGAAUGAUGCAAGC